rnacentral:rRNA from 1 species
GCAAGUCGAACAGACGAUCACCCUUCGGGUGUGACGUUAGUGGCGGACGGGUGAGUAACGCGUGAGUAAUCUGCCUGGGAGUGGGGAAUAACACAGGGAAACUUGUGCUAAUACCGCAUAACGUCAUCGGGUGGCAUCAUCUGAUGACCAAAGAUUUAUUGCUCCAAGAUGAGCUCGCGUCCGAUUAGAUAGUUGGUGAGGUAACGGCCCACCAAGUCGACGAUCGGUAGCCGGACUGAGAGGUUGGCCGGCCACAUUGGGACUGAGACACGGCCCAGACUCCUACGGGAGGCAGCAGUGGGGAAUAUUAGGCAAUGGGGGAAACCCUGACCUAGCGACGCCGCGUGAAGGAUGAAGGUUUUCGGAUUGUAAACUUCUUUGGCAGGGGACGAUAAUGACGGUACCCUGAGAACAAGCCACGGCUAACUACGUGCCAGCAGCGGC